AGUCGACGAUUAAAGCUCCCUUCGGGGAGUGCAUAAAGUGGCGCACGGGUGAGUAACACGUAAGUAAUCUACCUUCGAGUGGGGAAUAACCCGGGGAAACCCGAGCUAAUACCGCAUAAUGCAGCGGCACCUAAUGGUGACAGUUGUUAAAGGAGCAAUCCGCUUGAAGAGGAGCUUGCGGCAGAUUAGCUUGUUGGUAAGGUAACGGCUUACCAAGGCAACGAUCUGUAUCCGGUCUAAGAGGACGGUCGGACACACUGACACUGAAUAGCGGGUCAGACUCCUACGGGAGGCAGCAGUCGGGAAUUUUGGGCAAUGGGGGAAACCCUGACCCAGCAACGCCGCGUGAAGGAUGAAGUAUUUCGGUAUGUAAACUUCGAAAGAAUAGGAAGAAUUAAUGACGGUACUAUUUAUAAGGUCCGGCUAACUACGUGCCAGCAGCCGCGGUAAUACGUAGGGACCAAGCGUUGUUCGGAUUUACUGGGCGUAAAGGGCGCGUAGGCGGCGCGGUAAGUCACUUGUGAAAUCUCUGAGCUUAACUCAGAACGGCCAAGUGAUACUGCAGUGCUAGAGUGUGGAAGGGGCAAUCGGAAUUCUUGGUGUAGCGGUGAAAUG
rnacentral:rRNA from 1 species